rnacentral:rRNA from 1 species
UACAGAGGUGCGAGCGUUAAUCGGAAUUACUGGGCGUAAAGCGCGCGUAGGCGGCUUUUCAAGUCGAUUGUGGAAAAUCCCCGGGCUUAACCUGGGAACUGCAGUCGAGACUGUCUAGCUAGAGUAUGGGAGAGGGAAGUGGAAUUCAGGUGUAGCGGUGAAAUGCGUAGAGUAAUCUGAAGGAACAUCAGUGGCGAAAGCGACUUCCUGG